rnacentral:rRNA from 1 species
AUUGAACGCUGGCGGCAUGCCUUACACAUGCAAGUCGAACGGUAACGGGCCUUCGGGUGCCGACGAGUGGCGAACGGGGGAGUAAUACAUCGGAACGUGCCCGAUCGUGGGGGAUAACGAGGCGAAAGCUUUGCUAAUACCGCAUACGAUCUACGGAUGAAAGCAGGGGACCGCAAGGCUUUGCGCGGACGGAGCGGCCGAUGGCAGAUUAGGUAGUUGGUGGGAUAAAAGCUUACCAAGCCGACGAUCUGUAGCUGGUCUGAGAGGAUGAUCAGCCACACUGGGACUGAGACACGGCCCAGACUCCUACGGGAGGCAGCAGUGGGGAAUUUUGGACAAUGGGCGCAAGCCUGAUCCAGCCAUGCCGCGUGCAGGAUGAAGGCCUUCGGGUUGUAAACUGCUUUUGUACGGAACGAAAAGCCUUCUUUUAAUACAGGAGGGUCAUGACGGUACCGUAAGAAUAAGCACCGGCUAACUACGUG